GACGAACGCUGGCGGCGUGCUUAACACAUGCAAGUCGAACGGAAAGGCCCCUUUGGGGGUACUCGAGUGGCGAACGGGUGCGUAACACGUGAGUAACCUGCCCUUGACUUCGGGAUAACUUCAGGAAACUGGGGCUAAUACCGGAUAGGAAUCCUUGCUGCAUGGUGGGGGUUGGAAAGCUUCGGCGGUUUUGGAUGGACUCGCGGCUUAUCAGCUUGUUGGUGGGGUAGUGGCUUACCAAGGCUUUGACGGGUAGCCGGCCUGAGAGGGCGACCGGCCACAUUGGGACUGAGAUACGGCCCAGACUCCUACGGGAGGCAGCAGUGGGGAAGAUUGCACAAGGGGCGGAAGCCUGAUGCAGCAACGCCGCGUGCGGGAUGACGGCCUUCGGGUUGUAAACCGCUUUCAGCAGGGGCGAAGCUUGUGGUGACGGUACCUGCAGAAGAAGCACCGGCUAACUACGUG
rnacentral:rRNA from 1 species